UACAGAGGGGGCAAGCGUUGUUCGGAAUUACUGGGCGUAAAGGGCGCGUAGGCGGCCUGUUAAGUCGAACGUGAAAUCCCCGGGCUCAACCCGGGAACUGCGUCCGAUACUGGCAGGCUUGAAUCCGGGAGAGGGAUGCGGAAUUCCAGGUGUAGCGGUGAAAUGCGUAGAUAUCUGGAGGAACACCGGUGGCGAAGGCGGCAUCCUGGACCACGACUGACGCUGAGGAGCGAAAGCCAGGGGAGCAAACGGG
rnacentral:rRNA from 1 species